CAUGAGGGGCAGGCACACAGCCCCGGCCUCACCUUGCCCCGGCCAGUUCCCAGGACCCAGCGUUCCCAGCACGGAAGGAGGACCAGCCCAGAGAGCUCUAGCCAUUCCCACACCUGGCCCCCCAGCACCAGACCCGCAGACGGACGGACAGGGAGAGGGCCACCAGGUGACUCUGGGACAGGACCGGCUUGGAGCCACCUCUGCCCAUGGCAGGUUCUGUCCCGAGGACGCUGUCCCUGAGGCCGUCCUGCUGCAUGCCAGUCCCCAAGCCCUCUUUUGAACAGCCACACUGAAGGAGAACACGAACCCUUCUGAUCCCACUCAUGGCUCCAACCAAAGCUCGGUUUUGUUCCACAAAAGCAAGCGCGGCGCUGAGGAGGGCAGACGGCGGCCACGUCUGCUGGGGAACGGAGCCUGGCUGCCUCCCUCUGCUGCCUGAGGGGAGCCUGUUCUCACUGUUGUCUUUGAUUCUGUAUUUGGUAUUCUGAUUCUGGAAUCCAUUUAUCACAAGGCCAGACUAGUGGCCAAAGUAGUUUACAUCUCCCCUGUGACACUGAGCCGCCCUGACCUGAUCUCACAUCCCCACGCCAACAUCUCCCUGCCCUAAAUCAACCCAGGCCGGGUGCCAUGCACCAGGGACAGCCCCACGGCCCCCAGUGUGCCUGAAGGACUCAGUCAGCCCAUCCUCAGCUGCUCACGCUGCCCUGCCUGGCCGUUGGGUCAGAAACCCCCAUGGAGGCUCCGUGCCUCUUAUUCCCAGGGGCUGUAACAAUCAGCUUCUUUUCCACAAUCCUGGCAUCCAUGUCAUCCUGCAGCCACCUCCACCAUCUCAGACCCGGGCACGGAUCAGACCACUUCCCACCACCAUCUCCACCAUCUAAGACCCGGGCACGGAUCAGACCACCUCCCACCACCAUCUCCACCAUCUAAGACCCAGGCACGGAUCAGACCACCUCCCACCACCAUCUCCACCAUCUAAGACCCAGGCACGGAUCAGACCGCCUCCCACCACCGUCUCCACCAUCUCAGACCCGGGCACGGAUCAGACCACCUCCCACCACCGUCUCCACCAUCUCAAACCCGGGCACGGAUCAGACAGCCUCCCACCACCGUCUCCACCAUCUCAGACCCGGGCACGGAUCAGACCACCUCCCACCACCAUCUCCACCAUCUCCACCAUCUCAGACCUGGGCACGGAUCAGACCGCCUCCCACCACCGUCUCCACCAUCUCAGACCCGGGCACGGAUCAGACCACCUCCCACCACCAUCUCCACCAUCUCCACCAUCUCAGACCCGGGCACGGAUCAGACCGCCUCCCACCACCACCCACCACCAACCUGCAUCUGUGUCUUCUCUGUGGUGCUCCUUUGCCUCACAAGCUGCACUGGGAGGCUUCAGGGGGUAGCCUCCUCGAGGGCAGGGCCCUGCAGAGCCACAUGCAGAGGCCAACGGCCCCAGCGUCCCCCAGCACCAGCAAGGAUCUGGGGGCUGUGCUCCGGCGAGGGUGAUGGGUGCCUGCUUACCUCGGCCCACUGCUUGGCCCGGAUCCGCAUCUGGCUGUAGUUCCGCUCCUCAGAGUACAGGGCACCCAUGAAGGCCCCGAUGGACGUGCCUCCCACCAUGUCCACAGGGAUGCCACACUCCGCCAAGGCCUUGAGAAUGCCCACCUGGGCACAGCCUCUACACCAGCCAGGGACACAGAGCGAGGAGUGAGCACCAGGCCCAGGCUGUGCCCUGCAGAGGCCUCAGAGGUGGCCGCCUGCCACCUCUUGCUCAUCCUCAGUUCCCAACUCCUCCACAGGCAGAGACGCUGACGCAGAGAGGGACUCCAGAUGCAGUUUAAAAUCCCUCUUUCCGGGCUCACGCCUGUCAUCUCAGCACUUUGGGAGGCCAAGGUGGGCAGAUCACUUGAGGCCAGGAGUUCGAGACCAGCCUGGCCAACAGGGCAAAAUUCCAUCUCUACUAAAAAUACUAAAAUUAGCCAGGCGUGGUGGUGUGCGUCUGUAAUCCCAGCUACUCGGGAGGCUGAGGCAGGAGAAUCACCUGAACCCAGGAGACAGAGAUUGCAGUGAGCUGAGAUCACACCACUGCACUCCAGCCUGGGCGACAGAGUGAGACUCUGACUCAAAAUAAAUAAAUAAAUAAAUAAAUUAAAUAAAUGAAA